CCCCCCGCUCGCCCCGCCCUCCUCCCGCAGGCUCCGUACCUGUCCCCUUCUUCAGACGCUCUAGACACACCCUCAGCCCCGCCCCGGCCCUGCUCCUCUGCGGGCCAGUGGACACGCCCCUCCAACCUAGCCCAGUCGGGGUUCUUAGUAGCUGUGGACACACCCUCGGCCCCGCCUCUACUUCGUCCUCAAGGCUGUAGACACGCUUGUCCAUCCAGCUCCUUCCCCUCCCCUGCCACAGUGGACACGCCCCUGACACGCCCCUGUCCGGAUGCCGCGCAGGCGCAGUAUUCUCUACUGAGGGCUAGCUUGUUUCCCAGCAAUUUGAGAGACUAAUCUCAGGCGCUGCUGCUUGAUUGGGCCACAUUCCUGCGUCCAGGGACUGGUUCGUCUCUACCUUUGGGCAAAGCCGGCUCCCUGAGAACUGAGUGCCUUUACAGUCCGAACAGGCGCUGCGUCUUUGGACAGAGAUGCCGAGACGUCUCUGCCAAGACUGGCGGAGUGUGUGAGGCUCGGGAACGGCACCCGAGAUUAGCCUAGAGAAACAAUCCCCGCAGCUCUCUCGGGUGUCCGGAGCAACCGCGAGCCACGCCUCCUUCCUGGUGGGCACUAACAUCUCUCACCCAGGUUUGGCGUAAAAGGGAAAUGGAUGCCAGCCUAGGACCAUCGUCACGUGUGGCCUGCAUUCUAGUGCUUGAAAGGAGCAAUAGUAUAUUUGUGAAACCUGGGUGCGGAGGAGAAAGAUGUCACUGCAGAGCGGACCGUGUGGACCAGCCUCUAGGAAGCCGCAGAAACCCACCAUCUCGGGCAUGGGUGGACUUACUGACCAUCAUCUGCAAGCUUCAAGGUGCUAAACUUCUGUCAUUGUCAGAGCCACCUUACUCAUGAAGAAGGCAGUCGGUAGAGUGCAUGCUGUACUGGUACCCGUCCCUCAGGUGCCGAGGAGAGAGUGCAUGUAGUCAGAUCAAGCUGUGGAUGAGCCUGGACAUGGUGUCCCAUGUUUGUAAUCCCUGCACUGGGAAAAUAGAGGCAGGAGAAUCUAAAUGAAAUUCAAGACCGGCUUCAGCUACUGGAGAUGAGACCCUGUCUCAAAAAACAAAACAAACAAAAAUUGGCAUGUGGCCUCGUGGCAAGUAUCUUGAAUCCAAGGAUUUAGGAGGAAGAGGCAAGUGCAUCUCAGUGACUUCAGAGCCCCACAGUUUCUAAUCGAGUUCCAGGAUCUUCCCUCGAAGCCAUUUGAUCAGGUUUCUGCACAGUGCUCCUGCCUCAACAUGGGAAGAAGAGCCCAACCUGCAGGCAGGCUCUGUCCUACCUAGAACAAACUCCACAGGGGAGAAUAGAGGUAGCUUACUGGAUGGAAAAGCUACCAAGAUCCUAAGGAGGCAUGAGGAACAGCUUCUUCUGUCCAUCCUUGAAUCCUCAGUCAGGAAGGAGCCAAUGAAAGUACAAGCCAAACAGUGGAUAAUGGCUUACCCCCACCAGCUUGCAACCAAAGCAGGAGGAAGCCACCCUGCCCUGCACCCUCCAGUGUCUCCCAGAGGAAGGCAACAGUAAGCCUGGCAAGCCAGGGCCAGCUCCCCUAACCUGUCUUCUCACAAACUGUGGUUCAAACCAGUUCUCCACCCCCAUCCAGACACACAACAGGUAUGAACAGGUAGGCCAUAAGUCACCACUGUUGGGCACAGAUACCCAGGAGAUGAUGGUGCAGCGAGGAGAUGCAUGGUUCUGAGGACUACCCCUAAUCUGGGCGAUGGUGAGCAGGGUCCCAUAUCCCCAGAGAGAACAGUCACAGUAGGCUUGAUGUGCACGACCUGCUAAACUCACCAUUUACUCCUCUCUCCCUGGCCCUUGCAUGAGAAUUCAUACCCAAGUGUCCACACAUACAGCUGGGAAGUCAAAAGCAUCCUGACCCAGUACAAACAAUGUGAAAACCCUGGCCAUCCCACCCUGUCAACAGGAAGUUCUGGAAAAGACUGUCAAGACAGCAGCACAGGAAGUCGGAAAAAGGCCACCUGGAGGGGCUCCUGAGGGCCCUGAGCAGGCAGGCCUUUGUAACAGUUUACUUGGGACAGCUGUCUGCCCCCAUCCCAAAAGCUAGAAGUCUAAAGUGUUCUCACAUAUACUAUAUACUCACAACUCUAGCAGCACCCAGUUUGAAUUAUGGCAGGAACUCCUGUUAAUAAGAGGCUGGGUGGCCCACUGAUAGCGUCCCCUACUUCCCCAUCCUGGACAGUGAUGUGAAAGCAUAGGCCAAAUAAAUCCAUUCUUCCCCAGGC
rnacentral:sRNA from 1 species